AUUAAAGAAAGAAAAAUACAUUUUCUCUCCAUCUUCUUCUUCAUGUCGUGGGUAAAGGAAGAAAAUAGGGCUUCAACACAUUCGACCCUUGUUUGGUAUGUGAUUUUAAGUUUUUUUCUUGUAAUUUUUAUAUUUUUGAGGUCAUGAGUUUCACUUGCUAGCCCAUGUACCAAUUUGUAAAACUGUUAAAGUAUUUGAAAGUUGUCAUAGUUGAGUUCUUGAAGAUUUUGGUGUUAAAUUAAUAGAUUUUAAACUUAGAUGUGAAAAAGGACUAAAUUGUAAUGAUUAAUCGUUAGUUUUUGUACUUAAUGAAUAAAGUGAAUAAAUUGUAAUUUUUUGUUCAAUUUCUAUAAUAAUUGAUAGUAGAGGGUCCCUGAUGGAUGUGAUUAAGAUCGAUUUUGAAAUCGAAGCUCAAACUUGAAAGAUAUUGUUAUUUCGAUUUUAGUGACUAAAUUGAAUAAAAUGCAAAAUUUAAGGGGCAUACAAAAAAUCAAAUUAAAUCGGUUCAUGCAUAUCAUGGAAUGAUAUAAAAUGUUUGGUAUUGAUGAAUUGUUUAAAAUAAUUGUUUAGAUCAAGAAUUGAAUCAAACUAGAGAUAAUUAGGAAAAAGCCAAAAUUAUCGAUUAGUCCUUAAAGGUUCAACUUAUUUUUUUUUGCUAGGUAAGUUCAUAUGGUUUAAAUUUUUUUUAAAUUGUUAUGUAUUUGAGUUGUGUAUCUAUGCUUGAUUGUGAAGUGAUUGUGGUAAAUUUGUAUAAAUGUGAGUUUUGGACUAAAUUGUAAAGAAAGGUUAAUUUGUGUAAUAGAUGCUUGUAUAAACUUAGUAAAGGUUAGGAUACGAUUGACAUGCAAAUAGGUACUUAUGCAGGCUUGUAUAGGAUAAGAUUUUGUAUAGAGGUUGUCACAGGUUAAAUCAAGAUCUAGCAUUUGUUGUAGAUCAUCGAAUAUUAUUCGUCUCUACAAAGACCGUAGUGUGGUGAAAAGGUAUAUUAGCAUGUGAAUAUGCAUAUGAUGUCUACGAGCUUUGCACUUUGGUGCCCUAGUGUGGUGUUAUUUCAACUUGAAAAAGCAACUUGGUGUAGUUUAUUUUCUUGAGUAUCCGAGUCCAUUUACUAGGGUUCAUCGGGCGGUGUAGUUAUAUGAAAUGAGAAAUUGAAAUGACAUGAAAUGAGUUCAAUGUUAAAAUGAUAGAUUAUUCAAUUAUUUCAGUAUGAAGCCUUUGGUAUAUAUGUGAUUACAUCACUCUUGAAUUGAAUAAGAUUUAAGUUUGUUACCUAUUGUGACAUGAAAUGGUAUGUUAAAUACUUGUGAUAUUACAUGGUUUGAUUAUAUGUUAAACUCACCUUAUUAAUGUAGUAUUUUUCCAUGACAAGCCAACUAUGUCAAAUUAUGGUAGCUUAAUGUAGUAAAUUGAAAGAUAACGUAAUUAUUAUUUAAUACCUAAGAACUUACUAAGCAUUUUAUAGGCUUACCCCAUUUAUUUCCUCUUUUCCCUUGUAGAUCGUUACUACCACACUCGAAUUCACAGAAUUACCUGAACUCUAAGAGGAGUUAGGGAGAUGAUUGAAUAGUAAUGGAAAGUUGGGGGCACUAGUGAUGAAAUUAGAAAAUUUAAAGGCUAGUUAGAAGGAGAUUGGACACCUAAUCUGGUUUAGUUGGAUUGAGACUAGCUAGAUACAUAGCGGGAAACAUAAUAAUUAGAAUUGUGCAAUAGUGAUGGUCUGUGAAGAUCGUACCAUGAGAAUAUAUAUAGGUAGGAGGAUGAGAGAAUGAGGGAUUUCCAUAAGCUUGUUUACCCCUUUUUCCCUUCUAAAUUAUCAUAUUCUUCAUCUAUCUUGAAGGAGAAGAAGUCGUAGGCGUGGGAGACUCUGCAUGUCGCAGUAGUCAUAGGCAUGGAUGUCCUAAAUGAUGAAAUAUCAAGGGAAAGUUGCUAGGUCUAAGGAAACCCUAGCAUUCGGGCAAGCCUCGGUAAAUAAGGAUAAAGAAAUAAUGUGAGUUUCUACAUCUUGCUUCUGGGUGAUGAAAGAUGUUACGUUGCUUGCAUGAACUAGGGAAUGUAUGAGUAAUCUGCGCAUAAGUAGGAUAGUAGUACCAUGACAGGCUGUUUUUUAUUGCCUUAAGGUAGAUGAUGAUUAGAUACAUGCAUUGCAUGACUGGGAAAAAACCUCAAGGGGAUAGGUGAAGGUAGGAAGGGAAUGGGGAGUGAACCAUUAGUUAUUGCCUUGGGCGAAGAGAUAAUGUGAGGAGGAUUCAAGAAAUGGAAUAUGGAAUAGUAAUUACCGUGAAGAAUGUAUCAACUAGUCCUUAAAGGCGACACCGUGAAUAUGGUAUAUGGCGUAAUAAUAUGAAUGAAAGAUGCCAUGGCAGUCUGGUAUGAGUAACUUAGCGUAAGACUGUAUGAAAGAUGUCAUGGCAGUAUAGUACACGGUAACGAUAUAUGGCGUAAGACUGAAUGUAACAACCUAUUUUUAGUAAAAUUAGAACAGUGGUUUCGGGACCACAAAUUCAAGGUCAGAAAUUUAUUUUAAUAUUAUUUUAUGAUCUACAGCACGAUAGUGUUACCGUAUAAAAAUUUUGUUAAGAAAUUUUAACGUUUACAUGUUCAAUUUGGUAAAAAUGACUAAAUCGUGUAAAGUGCAAAAGUUGUGUUCUAUUAGUCACUGGUAUUAAAUAGCUAUAGAACUUUAAAGUGGAGGUCCUUAAAUGGUAAUUAGACCAUUAAAGGUGAUAAUGUAUGUUCAUGGCUUGGCAAUUGUGAAAAUUUUAAAGUUAGGUAAGGGUAAUUUUGUAAAUAGGUAAAAAGUGAUCAAAUAAAUAAAACAAAAAUUAAAAGCCUUCAUCUUUAUUGUUUCUUCUUUAACCAAUUAUACAAGUAAGAAAGAGCCAUGGAAGCUUAAAAAUUUUAGCUAGGUAAAUCCCUUGCAUGUAAGUGCAUUUUGUCCCGUUUUUAAUGAUUUUUAUGUUUUCGGGAUCGUUGUAGCUUAACCUAGCUAGCCCGGGGACUAAUUUGCAAAAUGGUUGAAUGCCUAGAGUUUUACCAUGAGUGCAUUUUAGUUGUUUGUGAAGUUGAAUAGAAGAAAAUGAAUCAUUAUUGUUAGAUAAAUAACUUUUGUUAAGUGAUUUUUGAUAAAUUUAUCAAUUAGGGUUAAAUUAGAAAAUAUGAAAUAUCAUGGUGUAAUUUGUGAAUUAAUGAAAUGUGUGGGCUGCUAUAAUCUAGUAUGAUAUUCGGCUAGGCUUAGGUAGGGAUGAAAUUGCAUGAAUUUCAUUUUACAAGCCUAAGGACUAAAUUGUAAAGAAAUCAAAAGUAUAUGGGCAAAAUGGUAAUUUUUCCAAAACAUGAUUUUUGGAUUGAAUUUAAUAGAAUGAGGUCUGAAUUAGUUAAAUUUGAUUAUAUAGAUCAGGAAAAGCAACGUAUGGAUUUAGAUCGGGUAAAAUAAAAAGUACAAGAUUAAUCGAUCGUUUUCCUCCGUACAAGUUUGAGGUAAGUUCGUAUGUUUAAUAAGGAUUAAAUUAUAUUUGAUUUAAAGGCUUUUAUAUUAUAUUCUUGGUAUUACGACUCUACGAAAAUAUCCAACAAAGUUUCGGCGAGCUAAGAAUCUCGUUUGAACAUUAGGAAUAAAUAGGAUACAAAUGACAUGUCAUUAGGGGUUACCGUGUUUUGGGUGCUAGUCUCGUACGUCCUACCGGUGGCUGAGUUUUUGGCAUGUGUUGCAGUUACUUGAAAGCUUGUGUGAGUAGCACUGUGUAGCUACGUCCUGACUGACAGCUUGUGUGAGAAGGCCUAUUUAUGGCUCGAGAGAGAGAAUUUAUAUGAGAUAUGAGAUAGUAGUGGUUUUGACCACGUGUUGGCACAUAGUGUGCGAGAUUCCCGCGUAUCCGAUAUUAUUCUAAGUGGUUCAACGGGUACAGUUUUGUUUCAAGGUUAUAUGAGUUCGAUACGAACUGGUACAUGUAUUUACGUGAAUUACAUGGAAAUGGUUUAUAAAUGAUAUAUAAACGCAUGGUAUAGAUGUUUCAUGUAUAUGGAAUUUAAAUAGUUAUUGAACUCAUAUAUGAUUCUUGGUUUUUAUAUGAAUACAUGGCUAACUUGGUUGAUGAAUAUUUGUUAGGCUUUUGGGCCAAAUUGAGUUGUAAUAUGCUUUGAUUUACUUACCUAAAUUAUGGUUAAAUGGUAAGUUAAAUUUUGAGUUAUACGAACUUACUAAGCUUAAAUGCUUACCUUGUGUUAUUUUUUUCGUGUUUUAUAGUGGUCCGGAAGCUCGUUCGAGUUGAAAGUUGUCGGAAAUUUUAUCACACUGUCUAUCGGCUAUUUUAGUACUUAUGGUAAUAUAAUUUUGGUUCUAAUGGCAUGUAUAGGUCAUUUUGGCUAAUGAUAGCCUACAUGUUUUGUUAUGUUUAUAACCAUUUGAUGUGACUUAUAUUUUGGAUAUAUUUUGUUAUGUAUAUAUGUAAAUGGCCUUAUCAUAUAUGGUAUAUGGG
rnacentral:lncRNA from 1 species